GAUGAACGCUAGCGGGAGGCUUAACACAUGCAAGUCGAGGGGUAAAUGGUAGCAAUACUAUGAGACCGGCGAACGGGUGCGUAACGCGUAUGCAACUUACCUUAUGCAGGGGGAUAGCCCGUGGAAACGCGGAUUAAUAUCCCAUAGAUCAGUAAUAUCGCAUGGUAUAACUGGUAAAACUCAGGUGGCAUAAGAUGGGCAUGCGUCUGAUUAGCUAGUUGGUAGGGUAACGGCCUACCAAGGCGACGAUCAGUAGGGGUUCUGAGAGGAUUAACCCCCACACUGGUACUGAGACACGGACCAGACUCCUACGGGAGGCAGCAGUGAGGAAUAUUGGUCAAUGGGCGCAAGCCUGAACCAGCCAUCCCGCGUGAAGGAAGAAGGCCCUACGGGUUGUAAACUUCUUUUCUGUUUGAAGAAUAAGCUCGUCGAGACGAGUGAUGCCGGUAGGACAGGAAUAAGCAUCGGCUAACUCCGUGCCAGCAGCCGCGGUAAACGU
rnacentral:rRNA from 1 species